rnacentral:lncRNA from 1 species
AGAAAGAAUCUUACCGGAAUCGCCCCGCGAGCAUCGUCGCCGGAGUCCUACUUCGGGUCACCAAAAUCGGGCAAAGAGGGCGACGAUUUAUUUUUCUCUCGUGACCCCGAGGCUAUGAAGACUUGGUCUUCAGUGGUCCUUGAAGCAGGGCUUAAAAGCCCGACGUUUGGGCUUCCGACCACCGCCCACAGUGGGGCCGACGGUGGCCCAUUCGGCCGGAAAGGGGAAGGAUUGAGAGAAUGUUUUUUCCUCUCUGCAGUUUUUUUUUUC